CUGACUUCUGCGCCUCGACUUUCCAAACUGGUAUUUUCAAACCUGCAGCUCUUCGCGCCAGACGUACUACUUAGGAUGUUCCAUUUGAUUGAAUUCUUGGACAGCAAAACAGUCGCAGUCGUGCCACAAAGCUGGUACGGUGGUGGUGGCUGCGUUUGGCCGAAUUACCCGAGGGACGAAAGGGUGGACAAGGCGGUCCGAAGUGCCGAAGAACCUCAACCUGACUGGCAGACACAUGAUGUCAGAAUAAUUAGAUCAUGCGAUGAUUACUUGGUGGCAAGGCGAUGGUUAAAAAAAUACUUGUCCUGUGGCACAUCCGAUCUCCAUUCAGAAGAGGAGGCAAUUCCUAAAAGGAGAAAGCCAAUGCCUGUGUGAGUAAAUGUGUAUACAUUUUAUUCUUUAGAACUCUUUU